rnacentral:rRNA from 1 species
GGCUCAGGAUGAACGCUGGCGGUCUGCUUAACACAUGCAAGUCGAACGCAACCUUCGGGUUGAGUGGCGGACGGGUGAGUAACGCGUGAGAAUCUGCCUUGGGGUCGGGGACAACCACUGGAAACGGUGGCUAAUACCGGAUAAGCCUUUGGGUAAAAAAUUUAUUGCCCCAAGAGGAGCUCGCGUCUGAUUAGCUAGUUGGUGAGGUAAAAGCUCACCAAGGCAGCGAUCAGUAGCUGGUCUGAGAGGACGAUCAGCCACACUGGGACUGAGACACGGCCCAGACUCCUACGGGAGGCAGCAGUGGGGAAUUUUCCGCAAUGGGCGAAAGCCUGACGGAGCAAGACCGCGUGAGGGAGGAAGGCUCUUGGGUUGUAAACCUCUUUUCUCAGGGAAGAAGCUCUGACGGUACCUGAGGAAUCAGCCUCGGCUAACUCCGUGCCAGCAGCCGCGGUAAUACGGAGGAGGCAAGCGUUAUCCGGAAUUAUUGGGCGUAAAGCGUCCGCAGGUGGCGAUUCAAGUCUGCUGUCAAAGCACGGGGCUUAACUCCGUUAAGGCAGUGGAAACUGAAUAGCUAGAGUGCCGUAGGGGUAGAGGGAAUUCCCGGUGUAGCGGUGAAAUGCGUAGAGAUCGGGAAGAACAUCGGUGGCGAAAGCGCUCUACUGGACGGCAACUGACACUCAGGGACGAAAGCUAGGGGAGCGAAUGGGAUUAGAUACCCCAGUAGUCCUAGCUGUAAACGAUGGAUACUAGGUGUAGCUUGUAUCGACCCGAGCUGUGCCGAAGCUAACGCGUUAAGUAUCCCGNCUGGGGAGUACGCACGCAAGU